GGAUACCUAAGGGAUGAGGCAGAGAGGGAUCUUGGGACAUGGGCAGGGCUGGUAAACGUGAACCAGGAAGGGCAUUGUCAUUAAUUGGACUAAAGAUUUGCUAGUCAUUUCUCCUUUGAAGAUGAGGCUGAAUGCUGGAGCUAAGAAAGAGGAACUUCCUAGACAACUCUAAAGGGGCAGUCAACUAGAGAGAGAUGAUGAAAGGCAGGACACAUACUUCUGGCAAUUUAAGGCCCAGAUGUGAUGCAGGAGCAAAAGGAAAAAAGUGAAGCUUCAGAAGAGGGAAGAAGGCUAGAGAUCUAAGCCGGGAGAGAAGGAGCUUUUUAGACCCUAAGCCAAGAGACCUCCAGGGGAGUGAUCAGCAGAGGAGCUGAACUUUGGUGAAGGUUCCUCAAUCAGGAUGAAUGAACAUACAAAUGAUGGGGCACAAGAGAGAUAACAGACUGGAGCAGAGGAGAAGAAAUGUGAUUAAAGAAUAGGGACAGCGGCCAGGCGCGGUGGCUCACACCUGUAAUCCCAGCACUUUGAGAGGCC
rnacentral:lncRNA from 1 species